AGACUGUGCCGGGACAUGGUGACAGACAGACAUGCUUCGAAGGUCACCGUGGGAAGGGACAGGCCCCCAGAGAGAGCCCAGAAAGGCCAAGCCCGGAUCAUGGGGGAGAGAGGAGCACCCCCAUCUUGGGGCGGGUGAGGAGACACUGGCUCUCUCCACGGCUUCCGGAUGGGUCUCCGUUCAUUUCAGCUGCGUCUAUGGAACACGAUGAAAUGCUCCCUCCACUGCCAGGCCUUCUCUUAUGAAGCCAGUUUUUUCUAAGUCUAAAAAUUAAUAGAAAAGGUUCCAUAGAAAAUCAAGAAAGAUGAGGCAUCCUGCCUUUUCCAGACUUAUCUAGGAAGUGUCCUGCCAGGUCACCAAAUGGCAAGCAGAACCGUUAGCUGAAGUUGUCUGCCUAGAAUUCCACUGUGGCAACGUUCAGCGUCCCGAGUGAACAGCCCCGUGCG